ACGCUGGCGGCAGGCUUAACACAUGCAAGUCGAACGGUAACAGGAGAAAGCUUGCUUUCUUGCUGACGAGUGGCGGACGGGUGAGUAAUGCUUGGGAAUCUGGCUUAUGGAGGGGGAUAACGACGGGAAACUGUCGCUAAUACCGCGUAGAGUCGAGAGACGAAAGUGCGGGACCGCAAGGCCGCAUGCCAUAGGAUGAGCCCAAGUGGGAUUAGGUAGUUGGCGGGGUAAAGGCCUACCAAGCCGACGAUCUCUAGCUGGUCUGAGAGGAUGACCAGCCACACCGGGACUGAGACACGGCCCGGACUCCUACGGGAGGCAGCAGUGGGGAAUAUUGCGCAAUGGGGGCAACCCUGACGCAGCCAUGCCGCGUGAAUGAAGAAGGCCUUCGGGUUGUAAAGUUCUUUCGGUAUUGAGGAAGGUUGUUGUGUUAAUAGCACGACAAAUUGACGUUAAAUACAGAAGAAGCACCGGCUAACUCCGUGCCAGCAGCCGCGGUAAUACGGAGGGUGCGAGCGUUAAUCGGAAUAACUGGGCGUAAAGGGCACGCAGGCGGACUUUUAAGUGAGGUGUGAAAUCCCCGGGCUUAACCUGGGAGUUGCAUUUCAGACUGGGAGUCUAGAGUACUUUAGGGAGGGGUAGAAUUCCACGUGUAGCGGUGAAAUGCGUAGAGAUGUGGAGGAAUACCGAAGGCGAAGGCAGCCCCUUGGGAAUGUACUGACGCUCAUGUGCGAAAGCGUGGGGAGCAAACAGGAUUAGAUACCCUGGUAGUCCACGCUGUAAACGCUGUCGAUUUGGGGAUUGGGCCUUGAGCUUGGUGCCCGAAGCUAACGUGAUAAAUCGACCGCCUGGGGAGUACGGCCGCAAGGUUAAAACUCAAAUGAAUUGACGGGGGCCCGCACAAGCG
rnacentral:rRNA from 1 species